UGAGGAGGUCAGUCUGUGAUUUCCAGAUC
rnacentral:piRNA from 1 species